rnacentral:rRNA from 1 species
UACAGGGGGUGCAAACGUUGCUCGGAAUUAUUGGGCGUAAAGCGCGCGUAGGCGGCUUUGUAAGUUAGAGGUGAAAGCCCGGGGCUCAACUCCAGAACUGCCUUUGAUACUGGCGAUCUCGAGUCCGGGAGAGGUGAGUGGAACUGCGAGUGUAGAGGUGAAAUUCGUAGAUAUUCGCAAGAACACCAGUGGCGAAGGCGGCUCACUGGCCCGGUACUGACGCUGAGGUGCGAAAGCGUGGGGAGCAAACAGG